rfam:Angiostrongylus costaricensis strain Costa Rica genome assembly, scaffold: ACOC_contig0002108
UCCGUUGUGGUCUAGUGGUUAGGAUUUACAGCUCACACUCGUAACGCUCGGAUUCGAUACCCGGCAACGGAA